CUAGGUCGCCCUCUUCCUCUCCCAAAGGUCUAAAAACGGCUAUCAUGCUCAUCACCUGAGAAAUCUGGAAGGAAAGAAAUGAGAGAGUCUUCAACAAGAAAUCCUCUCUGCCGGUGGUGGUCAUGCACAAGAUAAGAGAGGUAGCAAAAGAUUGGAUUCUAGCGGGAGCAAAAAACUUGGCGGAUCUUGUGGGCUGAUCUGUUUGUUG
rnacentral:lncRNA from 1 species